rnacentral:misc_RNA from 1 species
GAUGAAGAACGUAGCGAAAUGCGAUACUUGGUGUGAAUUGCAGAAUCCCGUGAACCAUCGAGUCUUUGAACGCAAGUUGCGCCCGAAGCCACUAGGCCGAGGGCACGCCUGCCUGGGCGUCACACGUCGUUGCCCCCCCAUCUACUCCUUCGGGAUUGCGGGGGGGCGGAUGAUGGCCUCCCGUGCAUCUAGCCGCGCGGUUGGCAUAAAUACCAAGUCCUCGGCGACGCACGCCACGACAAUCGGUGGUUGCGAAACCUCGGUUGCCCGUCGUGUGCGUUCGUCGCGCAUCGAGGGCUCGAAAAAAUGCUCGGCUUCGGCUCGGCUUUCAACGCGACCCCAGGUCAGGCGGGGUUACCCGCUGAAUUUAAGCAUAUCAAUAAGCGGAGGA